rfam:Methanomassiliicoccales archaeon RumEn M1 contig00020, whole genome shotgun sequence.
UGUGACGGCCACAGCGGCGGGGAUACACCCGGUCCCAUCCGAACCCGGAAGUUAAGCCCGCCCGCGUUUCGUGCUGUACUGCGGUGCGCGAGCCCGCGGGAACCACGAGGCGCUGUCAGCC